CGGACGGGUGAGUAACACGUUGGAACCUGCCCCAAAGUGAGGAAUAAGCCACCGAAAGGUGGUCUAAUACUUCAUAAUAUCCAUCUCGUACGGAUUAAAGCUUUAUGCGCUUUGGGAGGGGCCUGCGUAACAUUAGCUUGUUGGUGAGGGUAAAAGCUCACCAAGGCUUCGAUGUUUAACUGGUUUGAGAGGAUGACCAGUCACACUGGGACUGAGAUACGGCCCAGACUCCUACGGGAGGCAGCAGUAAGGAAUCUUCCACAAUGGGGCAACCCUGAUGGAGCAAUACCGCGUGCAGGAUGAAGCGUUUCGGCGUGUAAACUGCUUUUAUCACCGAAGAUUAUGACUGUAGGUGAAGAAUAAGGACCGGCUAACUACGUG
rnacentral:rRNA from 1 species